rnacentral:rRNA from 1 species
UAGGGAAUAUUGGGCAAUGGACGGAAGUCUGACCCAGCCAUGCCGCGUGAAGGAUGAAGGUCCUCUGGAUUGUAAACUUCUUUUAUAUGGGAAGAAAACGUCUCAUUUAUGAGGCCUUGACGGUACCAUAGGAAUAAGCACCGGCUAACUCCGUGCCAGCAGCCGCGGUAAUACGGAGGGUGCAAGCGUUAUCCGGAAUCACUGGGUUUAAAGGGUACGUAGGCGGUCUUAUAAGUCAGUGGUGAAAGACCUGGGCUCAACCGAGGUUUUGCCAUUGAUACUGUUAGACUUGAAAUAAGUGGAGGUUUGCGGAAUGCGUCAUGUAGCGGUGAAAUGCAUAGAUAUGACGUAGAACACCAAUUGCGAAGGCAGCGAGCCAUACUUUAUUUGACGCUGAGGU